rnacentral:rRNA from 1 species
AUGGCGACGCGCCACCGCACGUUCUACCGCCUCGCCGCCACAAUCCUCAUUGCGUUCCUCCUCACACCACCGACCGCAGCCCAGCCGCCGUGGCAGAUCUGCGGCAAGAGCGGCAACUAUGCGGCGAACGACACCUACCAAUCCAACAUCCGGCAGCUCUCCGCCACCCUCCCCAAGAACGCCUCCGCCUCCCGGACGCUUUUCGCCACCAGCAGCAUCGGCUCCCUACCGAACAUCGCCUACGCCCUCGCGCUCUGCCGCGGCGACGGCAACGCCUCCGCCUGCGAGGCCUGCGUCACCACCGCCUUCCAGGACGCGCAGCAGCUCUGCGCCUUCAACAAGGACGCCACCGUCAUCUACGACCCCUGCUACCUCCGCUUCUCCAACCAGAACUUCCUCGCCACCACCAGCAACGACAACAUCAUCGUCCUCAAGAACACGCAGAGCGUGAGCUCGCCGGUGGACGUGUUCGACGCCGCCGUCCAAACACUCCUCAACGCCACCGGGGACUACGCGGCGGCAAACUCGUCCAGGCGGUUCGCCACGGGGGAGGAGGGCUUUGACACCACUAACCCCACCAUCUACGGGCUCGUGCAGUGCACGCCCGACAUGUCACCGGCCGAUUGCCGGAGCUGCCUCGGAGACAUAAUUACGCAGAUGCCGCAGGAUCUCAGCGGGAGCAUAGGCGGGAGGUUGAUUGGGGUGCGGUGCAAUUUCAGGUACGAGGUGGUUCCUUUCUUCUCCGGAAGCCCGACGCUGCGUUUGCCAGCACCUCCAGCGCCGCCGGCUCCUCCUCCUGCGCCUGUUAACGUGACGCCAACGGCGACCCCACGAGCAGGAAAAUCGGCAAACAAUGUUCUGGCUAUUGUGCUGCCUAUCGUUGCUGCAAUUCUGGCUAUCACUACCGUUUGCCUUUGUUAUUUGAGGAGGAGAAGGAGAAGACAAGCAAGGAGUGAGCUACCUCAUGAUUCAACUAAUCAUGAGGACAUAGAUAGCAUUGAUUCACUUAUCAUUGAUCUAUCAACCUUACGUGGUGCGACGAGUAACUUUGCUGAGGAGAAUAAGCUUGGUGAGGGAGGAUUUGGUGCAGUUUAUAAGGGAGACCUUCCUGAUGGUCAAGAAAUAGCUGUGAAGAGGCUCUCCAGGAAUUCAGGGCAAGGAAUAGGGGAGCUCAAGAAUGAGCUUGUUUUGGUCGCCAAGCUUCAACAUAAGAAUCUUGUCAGGCUUGUUGGCGUAUGCUUGCAAGAGCAUGAGAAACUGCUUGUGUACGAAUACAUGCCCAAUAGAAGCAUUGACACCAUUCUUUUUGAUUCGGAAAGAAGAAAGGAGCUAGAUUGGGGAAAGAGAUUGAAGAUAAUAAGUGGAAUUGCUCGAGGAUUGCAGUAUCUCCAUGAAGAUUCACAGCUGAGAAUAAUCCACCGGGACCUUAAAGCUAGCAAUGUUCUGUUAGACUCUGAUUACACUCCUAAGAUUUCAGACUUUGGCUUGGCAAGGCUAUUUGGAGCAGAUCAAUCACGGGAGGUCACAAACCGUGUUGUUGGAACAUAUGGAUACAUGGCCCCGGAGUAUGCAAUGCGCGGUCACUAUUCUAUAAAAUCGGACGUGUUCAGCUUUGGCAUUUUGAUGUUAGAAUUUGUGACCGGACGACGAAGCAGUGGCUCCUAUAACUUUGACGAGUCUGUCGAUCUCUUGAGUCUCAUAUGGGAACACUGGAGCACGGGGACAAUUUCAGAGAUCAUAGACUCAUCUCUGAGAAGUCAUGCACCAGGAGACCAGAUGGUGAAGAUUAUUCACAUCGGGCUGCUCUGCGUUCAAGAUAACCCAGCUGAUAGGCCUAUGAUGUCGACAGUAAAUGUCAUGCUUAGCAGUAACACCGUGUCUCUCCAGUCUCCAUCCAAGCCAUCAUUUUUCAUCACCAAGAGCGGCACAUACUCAACUCCAUACUCGGAGUCGUCAUACCCUACGGCUUCCCAGUCGACUGCUAAGUCAGCUAUGGCGUCACCAAAUGAAGUUUCAAUCACAGAGCUUGAACCAAGAUGA